rnacentral:rRNA from 1 species
UAGAAGGUGAUAGACCUGUUAAGAUUUUUUAUAUUUUAUGGUUAUUUUAUGCUUUGAGUCGGGUUGUUUGGAAACACAGCCCAAAGUAGGUGGUAAACUUCACCUAAAGCUAAAUAUAUGUAUGAAUCCGAUAGCAAACAAGUACCGUGAGGGAAAGUUGAAAAGAACUCUGAAGAGAGAGUUAAAUAGUACGUGAAACUGAAUGAGUGGAAGCGUAUAGAGUUGUCGAAAGAUGGUAAUAAUAAGUUUUAUGGAAAUGUAACGGGCUGUAAAAUGUUUUCGUAUGAUUCAUUUUAUGGUUGCAGUUUAUUUUUGUAAAAUGCACUUGUUGCCAUUGUGCUGAUACAAUUGAUUGAGAUUUUUGAAAUUAUAUUAGAGGGCAUAUCUUCGGAUGUGUAUCCUGAUAUAAUGGAAAAGAUUUUUGGUUAAUUGUCCUUUAAUGAUUAAAAGAUGGAUUAUAUUUUAUCAGGCUUAAGAGUUAACGCGUGCGUUGGCUUUUUUGUUUGGUUUUGUAUGAUUCUUAUGAUAGUUAUUAAAUAUCAGUAUAAAAGACAAUCACCUAUAUGUCCCGUCUUGAAACACGGACCAAGGAGUUUAUUGUAUGUGCGAGUCAUUAAGUGAUCAAAACUUAUUGGCGUAAUGAAAGUAAAGCAAGUUUUUGACUUGUGAUAUAUGAUUGUUUUUUCUUCGGA